rnacentral:rRNA from 1 species
GAUGAACGCUAGCGGCAGGCCUAACACAUGCAAGUCGAACGGCAGCACAGGAGAGCUUGCUCUCUGGGUGGCGAGUGGCGGACGGGUGAGGAAUACAUCGGAAUCUACUCUGUCGUGGGGGAUAACGUAGGGAAACUUACGCUAAUACCGCAUACGACCUACGGGUGAAAGCAGGGGACCUUCGGGCCUUGCGCGAUUGAAUGAGCCGAUGUCGGAUUAGCUAGUUGGCGGGGUAAAGGCCCACCAAGGCGACGAUCCGUAGCUGGUCUGAGAGGAUGAUCAGCCACACUGGAACGGAGACACGGUCCAGACUCCUACGGGAGGCAGCAGUGGGGAAUAUUGGACAAUGGGCGCAAGCCUGAUCCAGCCAUACCGCGUGGGUGAAGAAGGCCUUCGGGUUGUAAAGCCCUUUUGUUGGGAAAGAAAUCCAGCUGGCUAAUACCCGGUUGGGAUGACGGUACCCAAAGAAUAAGCACCGGCUAACUUCGUGCCAGCAGCCGCCUAAGAC